GGAGUCUGGGCCGUGUCUCAGUCCCAAUGUGGCCGUUCAACCUCUCAGUCCGGCUACUGAUCGUCGACUUGGUGGGCCGUUACCUCACCAACUAUCUAAUCAGACGCGAGGCCAUCUUACAGCGGAUUGCUCCUUUGAUAUUAAGAGGAUGUCCUCUCAAUAUGUUAUGCGGUAUUAGCAGUCGUUUCCAACUGUUGUCCCCCUCUGUAAGGCAGGUUCCUCACGCGUUACUCACCCGUCCGCCACUAAGUAUUACAAGAAAUUCCUGUAGCAAGCUACUCUCGUUUCAGCGCAAUACUCCGUUCGACUUGCAUGUGUUAGGCACGCCGCCAGCGUCGUCUCGAGCCACGGAUCAAACUCU
rnacentral:rRNA from 1 species